rnacentral:rRNA from 1 species
GACGAACGCUGGCGGCGUGCUUAACACAUGCAAGUCGAGCGGUAAGGCCCUUUCGGGGGUACACGAGCGGCGAACGGGUGAGUAACACGUGGGUGACCUGCCCUUAGCUCUGGGAUAAGCCUGGGAAACUGGGUCUAAUACCGGAUAUGACUCCAUGACGCAUGUUGUGGGGUGGAAAGCCUUGUGCGGCUAGGGAUGGGCCCGCGGCCUAUCAGCUUGUUGGUGGGGUGANGGCCUACCAAGGCGACGACGGGUAGCCGGCCUGAGAGGGCGACCGGCCACACUGGGACUGAGACACGGCCCAGACUCCUACGGGAGGCAGCAGCGGGGAAUCUUGCGCAAUGGGCGAAAGCCUGACGCAGCGACGCCGCGUGAGGGAUGACGGCCUCGGUGU